AUAUCAUGAUGAUGGCACUUCCUUAAUAGCUCUUUGAAUCUCUCAAAUGCAUCAUACAGUGAUUCCCCUUCCAUCUGACAAAAAUUAUUAAUUUCACCUCUCAACUU